rnacentral:rRNA from 1 species
UACGUAGGGUGCAAGCGUUAUCCGGAAUUAUUGGGCGUAAAGAGCUCGUAGGCGGUUUGUCGCGUCUGCUGUGAAACUGGAGGCUCAACCUCCAGCCUGCAGUGGGUACGGGCAGACUAGAGUGCGGUAGGGGAGAUUGGAAUUCCUGGUGUAGCGGUGGAAUGCGCAGAUAGUCAGGAGGAACACCGAUGGCGAAGGCAGAUCUCUGGGCCGUAACUGACGCUGAGGAGCGAAAGCAUGGGGAGCGAACAGG